GCAUAUCAAUAAGCGGAGGAAAAGAAACCAACAGGGGAUUGCCCUAGUAACGGCGAGUGAAGCGGCAACAGCUCAAAUUUGAAAUCUGGCUCUCGGGCCCGAGUUGUAAUUUGUAGAGGAUACUUUUGAUGCGGUGCCUUCCGAGUUCCCUGGAACGGGACGCCAUAGAGGGUGAGAGCCCCGUCUGGUUGGAUGCCAAAUCUCUGUAAAGUUCCUUCGACGAGUCGAGUAGUUUGGGAAUGCUGCUCUAAAUGGGAGGUAUAUGUCUUCUAAAGCUAAAUAUUGGCCAGAGACCGAUAGCGCACAAGUAGAGUGAUCGAAAGAUGAAAAGCACUUUGAAAAGAGAGUUAAAAAGUACGUGAAAUUGUUGAAAGGGAAGCGUUUAUGACCAGACUUGGACUUGGUUAAUCAUCUGGGGUUCUCCCCAGUGCACUUCUCCAGUUCAGGCCAGCAUCAGUUUUCGCCGGGGGAUAAAGGCAGCGGGAAUGUGGCUCUCUUCGGGGAGUGUUAUAGCCCGUUGUGUAAUACCCUGGUGGGGACUGAGGUUCGCGCUUCUGCAAGGAUGCUGGCGUAAUGGUCAUCAACGACCCGUCUUGAAACACGGACCAAGGAGUCGUCUUCGUAUGCGAGUGUUCGGGUGUCAAACCCCUACGCGUAAUGAAAGUGAACGCAGGUGAGAGCUUCGGCGCAUCAUCGACCGAUCCUGAUGUUCUCGGAUGGAUUUGAGUAAGAGCAUACGGGGCCGGACCCGAAAGAAGGUGAACUAUGCCUGUAUAGGGUGAAGCCAGAGGAAACUCUGGUGGAGGCUCGCAGCGGUUCUGACGUGCAAAUCGAUCGUCAAAUAUGGGCAUGGGGGCGAAAGACUAAUCGAACCUUCUAGUAGCUGGUUUCCGCCGAA
rnacentral:rRNA from 1 species